CCUGCCAACCUCCCGGCCCCCCCAGCCUCCCUGCCAUGCAGGCUUGCCCCAAAAUAAUUAGUGUAGAAAGAGCAUUAAAGCCUGGAAAAGCCACUGAGGGCUCCAAGACUCUCCUUUAUCUGUCCGCCCUAAUCUGUGGAGAACCUGCUCUGUGCUUGGCUGCCACAACACUGGGUGUGGGGGACUCCCUUCCCUGAGGAGUUACCCCCAGGCCAUGCUGUCCAGUUUCAUCCUCGAGUUGUGAAGCAGAGGAGACAUCCGCAGGCCCGGGAUGGGCGAGCGUGACGUCAAGGCCUCUUAAGGAUAAGUUGUACACUGGGAGAAGAUAUUUGGGGUGCAUGUGAUUGGCAAUGGAUCAGUAUCAAGAUUAUACAUACAGAACUCCUAUGACUUAAUAAAAGGGCAACAAACAAUAGGUACGUGGAUGAGUGACAUGUACAGGGGUGUCACCUGCGAGGAGCCAUUGAUGGCUAAUAAGCACAUGCAAAGCUACUUAACAUUACUUUUCAAGGAAGA